rnacentral:rRNA from 1 species
UACGAAGGGGGCUAGCGUUGCUCGGAAUCACUGGGCGUAAAGCGCACGUAGGCGGAUUGCUAAGUCAGGGGUGAAAUCCUGGAGCUCAACUCCAGAACUGCCUUUGAUACUGGCGAUCUUGAGUCCGGGAGAGGUGAGUGGAACUGCGAGUGUAGAGGUGAAAUUCGUAGAUAUUCGCAAGAACACCAGUGGCGAAGGCGGCUCACUGGCCCGGUACUGACGCUGAGGAGCGAAAGCCAGGGGGAGCAAACGGGG